rnacentral:lncRNA from 1 species
ACCAAAGUUCCUCACCUUUUGGUAAGACAGAUGUGUUGGUGACCAAAACAGAGCAAACGGAAUCCUGAAUGAGACUGAAGGGCUGCAGCUAUGUGGUAGAAAAGACAGGAGACUACCCUAAGGCCUCUUUGCCUACAACACAGAUGCCUAACAAUAUUUUUUUCUAAGGUUCUCAGUGACAGUUGGGUGUCAUUUUUACAUAUUGUGUUUUGAAAUUAUAAUCCAAGCACUUAAAUAGAAGAGAGGCCUAAGGUAAACAUCUCGGGUGACCAGAUGAUUUUCCUCUUGUAGUCAUUUUUCACCCACUAAGGCUCAGUCAACUCAUAGUAGUAAUAAAACCCUUGUACUCAUACAGUGCUUUACUGUGAAAAAGUAUUCUAGACAGUAUUUCAUUUCAUUGUUUCCUAAAGUCCUGGUGAGGAGACAUGCCCUAAAGGCCCAAGCCUUUGAGAAAGAAGGAACCCAUAAAGAAGGAGGUCAUUCUGGAAGCUCCCAGCUGUGCCAGUGAAGGUCAGUGCAGUACCCUGAGGCCGUUAUCACUCGUAGGUCCAAAGUCAAUGAGACAGAGUGGUAAUUGGAACCCAAAAGGGGAAACCAGGCUGGUCUCAAACUCCCGGCCUCAAGAGAUCCUCCUGCCUUGGCCUCCCACAUUCUUCCUUUGAUUUCUUGCUGGAGCUCCCCCUUAGCCAAACACAAGCAGAAGUCAGAGGGACAGAGAGCAGGGUGGAGGAAAAUGGAGAGCAGGUCUGAGAAGCAACAGAAGCUAUCUAGCACUACCUGAGUGACCAGGAUUUUCUUCCUUAAUUGAACCCUUCUAUGCCAUAUCAUCGCAUCAUUUAACUCUUGCCAGCCCUGGAAGUAAAUGGUAUUUUCCCUAUUUUAGACGUGAAAAAACAGUGACCAAGAGAGGUUAAAUGAUUUAGCCAAGGUCCCUCAGUUAGUAGGUAGGGGGGCCAUGAUAUGACCCAAGUUUGCUGACACCAGAGCUUGUUCUGUUCACCACCCAGUUCAGCCUCCUCAAUGCCAC